UCUCUCUCUCUCUCUCUCUCUCUCCUCACUUUUGAAGUUGCCAUCAUCUUUCUAUCCUCUGAGACCCCAAACCGUGGUUCUUAAGGUGGAAACGUGUAAGUCUUGGGUGGGAAGUCGAUUAGGUUUCGGAGGUGACAGGAACUCCUCCUUGUCACCCGAACACAGGAUUAUCUUUGGUUGUGGGAAGUGAUCAGGUGCAUGAGGGUUUCGAUCCAGGCCUUGUUUCUCUCUUUUUUGCCCUGGCUUUUAAACCCGCUGGUUCCUGGGAAUGGAUCUGUCGCUGGUGUUGCCUCGAUACAACUCAAAGAGCACUGCAACAGGCUGCAAGAUUCCGCCUGUGGGUCCAUAAAUCCAGGCUCCAGCCGCAGAUGUCACCUCGCGUGGGAUGCUGCAGUACUUGUCGCAGUGCUCAUGUCUUCCUCUUCUCUCGCUAUUUCAUCUCCUCGACUCAAAUCUUGGGGUGGGAUAGCAGCCUUCCUUGAAGUCUACAGCUUCCCGUGCGCUCUUCUCUCGGUUAAUUGCGUUCCAGUUUGUCGGAGCAGCAGCCGGCCGGUGCUUGCAGCUGCGGCAUCAUCAAGAUUCACACGAACGUCCGGGGAGCCCCGUCGUCGUCGUCGAUGAGAAUCUUGAUGAUGCUGCAUCAGCAAACAAGCGGCUAAAUAUAUAUGCCUCCAUCGCUAAGGACAGAACUAAGAAAUCCAAAUGGCGAGUAACAUCAUGGACCACUUCAAUCGACUGGCUUCAUCAUGAGCCCUUUUUAAGAGGACGACGGUACUGCUCUUUCUCAAACACACCAAAACAUGGUUGUAGAUCUGAACAUGUGAUCAUCUUGCAUGGGGUAAUUCCUUCUUGAUUUGAUAUGGUCCAGUCAAAGAGCUUGCUCCUUAUCCUCACCUCAGCUUAGCUUAGUUUUGACACCUGAAGACUAGAAAAAAUUAACUACAACAACUUUUAAUUUCAGUCUGGCUUUGUUAAUUUAUGGAUUCUAAUGCAUCUUGGUAGUACUCUUGAACGGAAAUGCUUUGAAGUUUGACAUUAAUAUGUGCAUUCCUUCAAUAUUUGGCGGUCAUCAACAAACUAUCUUCUUGCUUUGAGAUGAAUGAUGUUAAGCUGCUCAAUUUGGUUGCCACAGUAAAUCAUAUAGAUCAAUGGACUCUUUUUGAAGUUGUGAUACAACAACUGCAUUCAGAAGAAGGAUAAAGGAGAUCCUUGGCUACAUGGUAAGAUUUAUUUUCUGAAACCUGGAGAAAACAAAAGAGCAACUCAUUCACAUUAAUGCACUCUAACAUUUAAAGUACGUGCAAGGAUCAUUUUCUAAUUAAUGCAGGUUUGAUCAUUGUUCUUAGAGAGCUUACCAUCUAAAGAACUAUGUGGCAGGAAAUGUCCUGGGAUGGAAAGGAUCUAAAAAGGAAAAAAAAAUCUUAUGUUAGCAAUAACUCUCCUUCAUCAGUCACUCAUUUAGGUGGACCUAACAGAAGGUACAUGUUGCUGCUAGUUGUUUCUAAGUGGACCUAUCUUUUAGGACAACAUGCACAGAACUGUCCGGCAAUUUGAUUUGAGCUCCUUUCUCCAUCUAAGCACAUAUACCAACAUAUACAUCUAAGAGCUAAACGCAUGUGAUUUAGUCAAAGUAUAUUGGUUGUACUAUUGUAUGAACUGGAGCCUCUAAGGUGUGUUGUUUUCUCUCCAAUCAGAGGGUUGCCAUAAUCCAAAAGAAAGGGUUUCUUUCAUUCAAGUCGACUGCAGGGAAACACUGCAACUGUGAUGGCAUCAAUGAUACUUUUCAUGCAAAGUAUCGGGUGCUUUAUGGCCAGAGACCUCUAUGAGAAAAUGUUAUGCUGAGCAGUGACAGCCACUGUGCUUCCUUCUUUCGUUUGUACGUUCUUUCCAAUAUUUCUUCUUGUCAUGAGUUCAUUAUUUUGCUUGCACUGCGCACCAUAAUGCUCCCAAAACAUGCACUGAAGGAUAAAUCUUGAUUGAUUUUCUUCCUCUCUUAAUAUCGACUUGACCAAUUAUAUAUCUCUCAGCAGAGGUCGAUGACAAGGAACUAAGUAUUCUCGAAUGAUUGGGAUCUACAGUUUGUUUUUGAUGCUAUAGUUAUCGUUGUGCCAUAAAGCUCACAAGCAUUCAAUAGUAAAGGCCCAUAUAUAGCUGUUUGGAAUAGAGGAAAAGAUAUAUCAUCUGUUUGUACAGAUUUCUUUGCCUAAUGAAUGGGUUGAGAUGCCUUUGAA